rnacentral:misc_RNA from 1 species
GAAAUGCGAUAAGUAAUGUGAAUUGCAGAAUUCAGUGAAUCAUCGAAUCUUUGAACGCACCUUGCGCUCCUUGGUAUUCCGAGGAGCAUGCCUGUUUGAGUGUCAUUAAAUUCUCAAUCUCUACCAGCGCUUGUGUUGUUGGCAGAUUGGAGGUGGGGGUUUUGUGGGUUUAUCUAAUGAAUCUGCUCCUCUAAAAACUAUUAGCUGGAAUGCCUUUUGCAAAACCAACUAUCAGUAUGAUAAUUAUCUAUGCUGAUGUUGUUGCAGAGGGGUAUCUGCUUUCAAAUUGUCAAUUUGACACUGAAUCAAUUUGACCUCAAAUCAGGUAGGACUACCCGCUGAACUUAA